AAGCUUUAUAUCUCCUGAUCUUACUACAAUGACAGGACAACAAGCAGCACUGAAGAUGUCAUCCAGGUGCUGUUUACAGGCACUGCUGUGCCAUGAACUUGGAGAAUGUGAAUCAUGGGUGUCUCAGAAGGCAAAAUAUUCCAUAGUAACCCUUCUAAAAGUGUGUGUGUUAACAUGUAACAACUAUUGAAAUCUAUAGAAUUUCU
rnacentral:lncRNA from 1 species